GCCUCUCUCUGCUUUUCGUGUCGGACUUUUCUUGUGCUUCCCUCGAGGAUCGCGCUUUAAGGGUCCAACCUAUUAGUUGACCACUUGCCCUAUAUCCCUCUCUUCAUUCUACCUUUCUGCAUUUUUCGUUGCCACCCUCUUGUUAGUUACUUCUCUUCUUGCCAUGGAGUUUUCUGCGAUCAAGGCAAGUAGGGCUACCCCUUCUUCUGUU
rnacentral:misc_RNA from 1 species